GCCCCCGUAUGGUAAAAAAAAAAAAAACCCACCGCGCCCCCGCAACCCCCUUCUCUCUCUUCCUCUGCCAGGGCCGGCGGCCGCACCCUCGCCGUCGCCUCCGACUCCCUGCUGCUCUCCCUCCCCCUCCUUUGUCGCAGCCUCGAUCGAUAUCGAAAAGAUCGCCCAGCACCAACGAGGAGGAAGGACAAACCGUCAGUGUCAUCUUUUGCUGCUCAUCGCCGUUCACGGAUUGGAGGUCUUAUGCUUACACAGUUACACAUUUCAAGUGAAGAGCGCUGCAUGCGUCUGCACAUUUCAAGUGGAUUGUAGAUGGACACAUCCUAUUCUACGCGAGCAGAGGAACUUCUCAGCAUACCGGCUUCUUCAGCAGCAAACAACGGGAGAAACUACGCGAGCUACCAACUAAAUACACGCCAACAUACAGCUGAAAACAAUGUCUAUUCUUCGCUAAUGCUUGCCUGGCAAUCAGGAGACGCAGACAGAUUGUGGAUCACACAUUCUUAAUCUGCAUAUGGUUCUGCUUCAAGUACAUCGUCAGCCAUUACUGUAAGAGCUACUUAGCUGGUUUGAAGCAACGGAUGCUCUACAUCACAGUACAUGAUUGGAGCAGCAUGCAUAUGCUUGGAAACAUUUCUCGUCACGUGAGGGGUGCUUUGAUAUUUCAGUUUUGCUAAGUCUCAGUCGAUUGAGACUUUGUUAUGUCUCAGUCCAUGGUAUCUUCUUUUGAUUUUGCAUGAAGAUUCGUGUAAAACAAUUUUUUUUUGUUUUUUUCUUCUUACAUACUAUAUAACUUAACUUAGACUUAGUUAAGUUUCAGUCGACUGAAAUUUAGGCACACCCUUGAUAUUUUUGU